UGCUUGUGCAGACAUGAAGCAACAUGGCACCAGACAGGCCACCAUGUGGCUCACACACUGAUGCUCAGCUCUGGAGCUUUCACUGCCACACGUGGAACUGACCAGAACUGUCAGCAGGAGGUGCGGGGAGCUUCAUAACAGAGAGCAGAGCCUUCACCGCCACACGUGGAACUGACCAGAACCGUCAGCAGGAGGUGCGGGGAGCUUCAUAACAGAGAGCAGAACCUUCACUGCCACACGUGGAACUGACCAGAACCGUCAGCAGGAGGUGCGGGGAGCUUCAUAACAGAGAGCAGAGCCUUCACCGCCACACGUGGAACUGACCAGAACCGUCAGCAGGAGGUGCGGGGAGCUUCAUAACAGAGAGCAGAGCCUUCACCGCCACACGUGGAACUGACCAGAACCGUCAGCAGGAGGUGCGGGGAGCUUCAUAACAGAGAGCAGAGCCUUCACCGCCACACGUGGAACUGAC